UGACCAGUAACUGCAUCACAUUUAAAAUAAAAUUGGUAAUCAAAUAAAACUGAAUUGGUUACCUUAUCAAAUGGUUUGGUAACCAACUAUAUGAAAUUUGGUUACCAACUGCAUCACAUCCAAAAUAAAUUAGUAACCUAAUAAAACUAAAUUGGUUACCUUAUCGGAAGGUUUAGUAACCAACUGCAUAAAUUUUGGUUACCAACUG
rnacentral:lncRNA from 1 species